AGUGAACGCUGGCGGUAGGCCUAACACAUGCAAGUCGAACGGCAGCACAGUAAGAGCUUGCUCUUACGGGUGGCGAGUGGCGGACGGGUGAGGAAUACAUCGGAAUCUACUUUUUCGUGGGGGAUAACGUAGGGAAACUUACGCUAAUACCGCAUACGACCUACGGGUGAAAGCAGGGGAUCUUCGGACCUUGCGCGAUUGAAUGAGCCGAUGUCGGAUUAGCUAGUUGGCGGGGUAAAGGCCCACCAAGGCGACGAUCCGUAGCUGGUCUGAGAGGAUGAUCAGCCACACUGGAACUGAGACACGGUCCAGACUCCUACGGGAGGCAGCAGUGGGGAAUAUUGGACAAUGGGCGCAAGCCUGAUCCAGCCAUACCGCGUGGGUGAAGAAGGCCUUCGGGUUGUAAAGCCCUUUUGUUGGGAAAGAAAAGCAGAAGGUUAAUACCCCGCUGUUCCGACGGUACCCAAAGAAUAAGCACCGGCUAACUUCGUG
rnacentral:rRNA from 1 species